rnacentral:rRNA from 1 species
UACGAAGGGGGCUAGCGUUGUUCGGAAUUACUGGGCGUAAAGCGCACGUAGGCGGCUUUUCAAGUUAGGGGUGAAAUCCCAGGGCUCAACCUUGGAACUGCCCUUAAGACUGGGAGGCUUGAAUCCGGGAGAGGUUGGUGGAAUUCCGAGUGUAGAGGUGAAAUUCGUAGAUAUUCGGAAGAACACCGGUGGCGAAGGCGGCCAACUGGACCGGUAUUGACGCUGAGGUGCGAAAGCGUGGGGAGCAAACAGG